AGUGAACGCUGGCGGUAGGCCUAACACAUGCAAGUCGAACGGCAGCACAGGAGAGCUUGCUCUCUGGGUGGCGAGUGGCGGACGGGUGAGGAAUACAUCGGAAUCUGCCCAGUCGUGGGGGAUAACGUAGGGAAACUUACGCUAAUACCGCAUACGACCUUCGGGUGAAAGAGGGGGAUCGCAAGACCUCUCGCGAUUGGAUGAGCCGAGGUCGGAUUAGCUAGUUGGCGGGGUAAUGGCCCACCAAGGCGACGAUCCGUAGCUGGUCUGAGAGGAUGAUCAGCCACACUGGAACUGAGACACGGUCCAGACUCCUACGGGAGGCAGCAGUGGGGAAUAUUGGACAAUGGGCGCAAGCCUGAUCCAGCCAUACCGCGUGGGUGAAGAAGGCCUUCGGGUUGUAAAGCCCUUUUGUUGGGAAAGAAAUCUUUCAGGCUAAUACCCUGGGAGGAUGACGGUACCCAAAGAAUAAGCACCGGCUAACUUCGUG
rnacentral:rRNA from 1 species